GCCUUCAGGUGAUCCGGAAGCAGGCGACCAUCGCCGGUCUGGAGCGUAUUUAGCCGCUCCGCCGGUCGCGGCGCAGCGGCUCGUAGCCAGAUAUCCCCUGCGAGAACAGAAGUCCCUUGACGCGAUUGACGUGCCUGACCCGCUCGGCGAUCAGCACCUUGCGCUCGCGGCAGAGGCGGCGGCGGUCCUCUUCUUCGGGAGUCGGGGGCCUUUACCAUCGCGCAGACCCGAGGUUCGCCCCGUUUGUACGCCAACAGCGCACGAACGAGCGCCUCGCCGUCGAUCCUGUCAGUCUUCGCCCGCCGACGCCGACGGGAUGUCCGCAAUCCGAGGCCGAUCAACGACGUAGCUUUCGAUCCCUUCGUUCUGCCAGCACGCGAUCGAUCCAGAAUCCGUCGAGGCCAGCCUCCUGAUAGACGCACGACACGGGAAGACCUUCCCGUCCUCGCCUGAGUUUUCUCC
rnacentral:misc_RNA from 1 species